rnacentral:lncRNA from 1 species
ACACACUCAAGUCUCAUAUUAUUUUCCAGAACACUGGCGUUACAAUUCUCCCCCACUAACAUGGAUUCGUCCUCGAAUCCUUCAACAUCGUCCAUCAGUCUAGGACUCCGUGCAACCGUCCCAAACGAUUCGCACUCCCACAACUGACUCCUCUGAGGCUCCUAUCUAAUCCAUAUACUCACGUUCCAGACCCUACUUGCUCAUACUCACCCACUUCCCCCGUCCACAGGUCGCAACCCAUGAUUCAUAUCGACUCGUCCUCAGGCCUCUGCCUUAGACUACGGUAUCCAGGAAGUCUCAC